AUUUAUAUUACAGAAGAUAGGGAAGGAAACAAUCUCAACCCGAGGCUUCUUUAACUGUUCAUUCGAAUUGCUUGGGUGCAAUACAACUACCACCAGCUGCUCUGCUUCUUGGGGCCUGCACUGGUUGCAUCUUCUCAAUUCUCAUUUGCAUAGGAAAAUCACAGGUUCCAAAUCUGAUAAAAGAAGCCAUUGUCAGACUCUGUUUUCACAUUGAAGUCAGAAGGCAAACAGCUGGAACAAUUCAGGAUGUGCUCAAGCAGUCAGGCAUGCAAUAGAUUGAAUUGGCCAUGAACUGUGUGAUAAUAGCAAUAGUAUUUUAAGCCAAGGAGAAAACUUGGGUCUACCAUUUUGCCUGCUCCAUCAGUAUGAAGAGAAUAAAAUUAGUAAAACUAGAAAGGAAUUUACCAGGCACUCAACGCAUUUUGGUGGAUCAUGGUUGAAUAUCAUUCUGUCGCACAGCUGUUCCAUGCAAUCAAGGAAAAAAACUGAGCAAAAAUCAACUUGAAGAAAUAAAUAAUUAAAAAUAGUUGUUGGAGAGAAGUUGUUGAACUAAACUAUUGCAGUCUUAGCACAAUGUAUCACAAAUAUUGUACUUGAAAAACUCUGCAAGUUAUUGAGACUCUGCACAAUGAAUUGCGACAUCCAUGAAUCUAAACCUUCAAAAGAGCUCACUUAUAU